UUGAACUGCUGGCCUUUUGGUUAGCAGCCAAAUGUUUAACUACGGCACCACCAGGGCCCCUAGGGUUACAAAUAUCUUUUUAUUGAAAUGAAGGUGGAAUGUAUUUUUAUUUCUUGUUUAUCUUAUUGUUUUGGUGUGAUUUUGGAGAGAAGGAGGUGGAAAGGUCUGUCUUCACUAUCUUAACUGGAAUUUGAAAUAAUUUUUGACUCCAAAUGGCUUUUGAUCCCAUGUUUUAAUUCAUAAUAUCUAGUAGAGUUAGAGAUGAAUGAUAUCUUGCUACUGUUUCUGUAAGUAUUCAGUCCAUCCUCAAAAUAUCAAGUUUUUUUUUACUUAGGAUAGUCAAACAAAUGUGGUAGGGAGUCAGAGUAGUUCUUCUACAAUUCAGAAGAGUGGCAUUUAAAGGAAACAGCCUUAACCAAUUCUUGGCUGAUUUACUUGGGAAGCAAAGGAGUAUUUCUGCUUUUUGAGCAAAGUAUGACUGUAGUCUUAAUUUCAGUCUCAUACUCUUGAUGUAUUCUUUUUUAUAGUAUAGAAAAAAAAAAAGAUUGAGCAAAUUCAUAAUCUGUCAGAGGACUGCAGUGGGACCCAUGAAUUAUAGCGCUUGGGAUUGAAUGAUAAGUUGUGGUUGCUGUACCUCAAGAAAGAUGUAAAAUUUUAAACAGCCAGGUUAGUAA